GAACGCUGGCGGCAGGCUUAACACAUGCAAGUCGAGCGGUAACAGGGGGUGCUUGCACCCCGCUGACGAGCGGCGGACGGGUGAGUAAUGCUUAGGAAUCUGCCCAGUAGUGGGGGAUAGCCCGGGGAAACCCGGAUUAAUACCGCAUACGUCCUACGGGAGAAAGCAGGGGAUCUUCGGACCUUGCGCUAUUGGAUGAGCCUAAGUCGGAUUAGCUAGUUGGUGGGGUAAAGGCCUACCAAGGCCACGAUCCGUAGCUGGUUUGAGAGGAUGAUCAGCCACAUCGGGACUGAGACACGGCCCGAACUCCUACGGGAGGCAGCAGUGGGGAAUAUUGGACAAUGGGGGCAACCCUGAUCCAGCCAUGCCGCGUGUGUGAAGAAGGCUUUCGGGUUGUAAAGCACUUUCAGUGAGGAGGAAAACCUUACGGCUAAUAACCGUGAGGCUUGACGUUACUCACAGAAGAAGCACCGGCUAACUCCGUGCCAGCAGCCGCGGUAAUACGGAGGGUGCAAGCGUUAAUCGGAAUUACUGGGCGUAAAGCGCGCGUAGGUGGUUCGAUAAGCGGGAUGUGAAAGCCCCGGGCUUAACCUGGGAACGGCAUUCCGAACUGUCGGGCUAGAGUAUGGUAGA
rnacentral:rRNA from 1 species